UGGGGAAUAUUGGACAAUGGAGGGAACUCUGAUCCAGCAAUUCUGUGUGUGUGAAGAAGGUUUUAGGACUGUAAAACACUUUUAGUAGGGAAGAAAAAAAUGACGGUACCUACAGAAGAAGCAACGGCUAAAUACGUGCCAGCAGCCGCGGUAAUACGUAUGUUGCGAGCGUUAUCCGGAAUUAUUGGGCUUAAAGGGCAUCUAGGCGGUAAGACAAGUUGAAGGUGAAAACCUGUGGCUCAACCAUAGGCUUGCCUACAAAACUGUUGAACUAGAGUACUGGAAAGGUGGGUGGAACUACACGAGUAGAGGUGAAAUCCGUAGAUAUGUGUAGGAAUGCCGAUGAUGAAGAUAACUCACUGGACAGAAACUGACGCUGAAGUGCGAAAGCUAGGGGAGCAAACAGG
rnacentral:rRNA from 1 species